GUGGAUAAUAUGCCAUAUCGUCUGUUGUAUUUUUUUAAUACAAAUGGACGAUCACACGAUUCUUAUAUAUGUAUAUAGUCCAAAAUAUCACACAGUGUUCCUAGACAAUCAUCUCUUUGACGUCAGAAUCAAUCUUCGAUAUGGUUCGUAAUAAAAGAUGUAAUCCAAUCUGCAGUAUUAUUCAUUUUUCGGUAGAUAUAUCAAACAGUCGAUGAAGAAGUGACAAAUAAACCCUCGAAUAUCACAGAGUAGCGGGCGAGCUUCCAAUCGUAUCA
rnacentral:lncRNA from 1 species